CUAUAUGGCCAAACUACCUUGAAAAUGCCUGAUCUUGUCCAAUCUCAGAAGCUAAGCAGGGUUGGGCCUGAUUAAUACUUAGAAGGAAGACUGCCUGGAAAUUCUAUGUUUUAAAUAGA
rnacentral:rRNA from 1 species